rnacentral:misc_RNA from 1 species
UCCGAUUUGUCACCGGCAGUCUCCCAUGAGUCCCCGACAUUACUCGCUGGCAACAUGGGACAGGGGUUGCGCUCGUUGCGGGACUUAACCCAACAUCUCACGGCACGAGCUGACGACAGCCAUGCACCACCUGUGCACAGGCCCCGAAGGGCUGCCGUAUUUCUACGACAUUCCUGUGCAUGUCAAGCCCAGGUAAGGUUCUUCGCGUUGCGUCGAAUUAAGCAACAUGCUCCGCCGCUUGUGCGGGCCCCCGUCAAUUCCUUUGAGUUUCAGCCUUGCGGCCGUACUCCCCAGGCGGGAUGCUUAUCGCGUUAGCUGCGACACUGACCGGGUCGAUCCGCCCAGCGUCUAGCAUCCAUCGUUUACGGCGUGGACUAC